UACGUAGGUGACAAGCGUUGUCCGGAAUUAUUGGGCGUAAAGCGCGCGCAGGCGGUCCCUUAAGUCUGAUGUGAAAGCCCACGGCUCAACCGUGGAGGGUCAUUGGAAACUGGGGGACUUGAGUGCAGAAGAGGAAAGUGGAAUUCCAUGUGUAGCGGUGAAAUGCGUAGAGAUGUGGAGGAACACCAGUGGCGAAGGCGACUUUCUGGUCUGUAACUGACGCUGAGGCGCGAAAGCGUGGGGAGCAAACAGG
rnacentral:rRNA from 1 species